rnacentral:rRNA from 1 species
AGUGAACGCUGGCGGUAGGCCUAACACAUGCAAGUCGAACGGCAGCACAGUAAGAGCUUGCUCUUACGGGUGGCGAGUGGCGGACGGGUGAGGAAUACAUCGGAAUCUACUUUUUCGUGGGGGAUAACGUAGGGAAACUUACGCUAAUACCGCAUACGACCUACGGGUGAAAGCAGGGGAUCUUCGGACCUUGCGCGAUUGAAUGAGCCGAUGUCGGAUUAGCUAGUUGGCGGGGUAAAGGCCCACCAAGGCGACGAUCCGUAGCUGGUCUGAGAGGAUGAUCAGCCACACUGGAACUGAGACACGGUCCAGACUCCUACGGGAGGGAGCAGUGGGGAAUAUUGGACAAUGGGCGCAAGCCUGAUCCAGCCAUACCGCGUGGGUGAAGAAGGCCUUCGGGUUGUAAAGCCCUUUUAUUGGGAAAGAAAAGCAGCAGGUUAAUACCCCGCUGUUCCGACGGUACCCAAAGAAUAAGCACCGGCUAACUUCGUG